rnacentral:lncRNA from 1 species
AAUCACGUUCAACCUCGCGGAUUAUGCUCCACCAACCUAAAGGAUCAAGGAAAACCGUGCGAUUAAUGUCGGUUUGAUCCGACGAUCCAUAUUCAUUUGGAAGGACUAUAUAAGCAGACCCCCUGGCCCUUGGAGGAGACAACCCCUUGAUCCCUAUUCAUUAUUCAUAGACAGAGCAAAAGCUAGGGUUUGCAGAUGAGAGCUCUCCUCUCUUCUCUAAACUAGAGU